rnacentral:rRNA from 1 species
GACGAACGCUGGCGGCGUGCCUAACACAUGCAAGUCAACUUGACUGAAGGAGCAAUCUGACAGUAGAGUGGCGCAAGGGUGCGUAACGCGUAAGUAACUUGCCCAAGGUAAGGAAUAACGUCGAGAAAUCGGCGCUAAUACCUCAUAAUGCAGCGGAUCCGCAUGGAUAUGUUGUUAAAGGUUUACCGCCUUGGGAUAGGCUUGCGUCUGAUUAGUUAGUUGGUGUGGUAACGGCACACCAAGGCUACGAUCAGUAACUGGUCUGAGAGGAUGAUCAGUCACACUGGAACUGAGACACGGUCCAGACUCCUACGGGAGGCAGCAGUGAGGAAUAUUGGGCAAUGCUCGAAAGAGUGACCCAGCAACGCCGCGUGGAGGAUGAAGGUAUUCUAUAUCGUAAACUCCUGUGAGAGCAGACGAAAGACAGAUUAUUAAUCUGGAUGACUGUAUGACUCAGAGGAAGCCCCGGCUAACUA